UACGUAGGGUGCGAGCGUUGUCCGGAAUUAUUGGGCGUAAAGAGCUCGUAGGCGGUGUGUCACGUCGGCCGUGAAAACCUGCAGCUUAACUGUGGGCGUGCGGUCGAUACGGGCAUCACUGGAGUUCGGCAGGGGAGACUGGAAUUCCUGGUGUAGCGGUGAAAUGCGCAGAUAUCAGGAGGAACACCCGUGGCGAAGGCGGGUCUCUGGGCCGAUACUGACGCUGAGGAGCGAAAGCGUGGGGAGCAAACAGG
rnacentral:rRNA from 1 species